rnacentral:rRNA from 1 species
GUCUAUGGCCAUACCACCCUGAAGCGCCUGAUCUCUUCUGAUCUCGGAAGCUAAGCAGGGUCUGGCCUGGUUAGUACUUGGUUGGGAGAUAUCCAUCUUUUUAAUCUAAAUUCAAUGAUGAUCAGAAGUUUCUGACC